rnacentral:misc_RNA from 1 species
UUUCCGUAGGUGAACCUGCGGAAGGAUCAUUAUCAUGUAAUUCAGUCCCCUUGGCUGUGUUAUAUAUAUACCCACUCUGUGUACCUUCUCCUGUUGCUUCCGCUGGGUGUGUAAUUCGCCCGGCGGAAGGGUAAAAAUAACCUCUGAGUAUUGAUGAAAUCUCUGUCUGAACCGAAUAGAAAGAAGAAUGUUAAAACUUUCAGCAACGGAUCUCUUGGUUCUC